UGUACCUCUUAGUUCCCUCCUGGGGGCACAGGUCUCGACCCGGUGCUUUUCUUCCCAUCCUACCUGGGAUGGGAUUAUGGGGGAAUCUUCCUUGCAGCCUUGGUUGUAGAGGAGUCCUUCUGCCAGUUUCCACGUAGUUUUUGGUGAGAAUUGUUCUACAUGUAGAUGUAUUUUUUGAUUUGCGGGGGGGAGGUGAGCUCUACAUCCUCUUACUCUGCCAUCUUGAUCACCCUCCCACUCUCUUUCUCUCUCUUUCCUCCUCUCAUUCUCUCCCUUUCCCUACUCAGGGAACUCUGUGGUACUUGGGGUCAUUUCUCAUCUGUACCCCAGAAGUCUUUGGAGCUAACAGGAGUUCUGUGCAUAUUCACUUGGGCUUGGACCCGUCAUCUUCAUAACCACAUGCUCCAGACUCAUGGACUUGGCUCCUUUCAAACAAUGUCCAUAUUGGCAGCUUCAUCCAUUCAUUCAACAAAUACUUACUCGAGGCCUGCCCUACGCUCAGUCCUGGUCUGGGGUUACUGUGGUAAACAAGACAGGUGUGGCCCUUACUCUCAUGAAGGUUAGUGAGGGGAGAAAGGAAUGAGCAAAUACACCAGGUGAUUUUGAUGGUAAGUGCCGUGAAGAAAAGAAAGCAGGCUGAUGCGGGAGAAAGUGACUGAGGUUGUCAAGACAGGCCUCACAAAGAGGUGAGGCUCGAGACCUAGAUGAUCAGACUGCACCAGAUCACCAGGCAGGUUUCUCUGUUGAAAAUAACAGGAUCCGACUCUAGUUAACGUAAGCAGAAAAGGAAUGCACUGGAAGGGUACUGGGUACUUCAGAGAAUGGGCGGAAGGCCUGGAAAAUUAGGCCAGCACAGAGGCGGUUGCUAAGGGAGGUUGGCCAGAACACUGACCAAAAUCAUGCUACAGCUGUUUCUCGUUAGGACCCAGCCACCUCUGCUCUGGAUACUGACCUCGAACCCUGGACCCACAGGCACACCACCACCAGAGGGACCUCCAAACUGGGCCUGAUUACCGCAGACCACAGGUUGUUCACAGUUUCAGGACUGUUUCUGCAGCCGUCACAUGAUAGCAAAACGGUGGUAAGCAGUGCACGAGUCUGCGUCGAAGACAGCCAGAGUCCAUGCAUCGGGAGGUUCUCUCGGUUGGAGAACGAACAAAGGGAGGACAUGCUCGGGCCAGGAGAUGCAGUUCCUCGCGCUCGCCACUAGAGGGAAUUCGUGAAGCUCCUCUCUGAAUGAGAAACCUGCCCCCCACCCAAAAGGCAAAGCUAAGACGAUAACCCAGAGUUCACCCAGACACAAGGUUCCUCAUAAAUAGACUCAGCCUCUCUGACUCUCCUUUCUCAUCUGUCAGAUGGCAGUUAAACCCAUCUCACGGGGCUGUGAAGAUUCAUCAAGACGACAGUGGUUGUAAAACCCUUACCACACACAAAGCCUCCUUAGGGAAAACCAGGACUGCCUGACGAGCAAAGUUUGCCAGCUGACCUGAUGCUUAAGCUUGGAGCGAGAGGCAGGAUCCAUCCUCCAGCUUCCUCAGGAGGAGAAAGAUCAAAGAAACUCCACUCACCCUUCAAGGCCUUGCUAAAGCAUCACUUCCUCCAGGAACCCCUCCCUGCUCUUCCAGCCGAGUCAGCAGAGUCCACAGAAUGUGUAGGUAUCUGGAAUUAUAACCAAUCAACAGGCAGAGAGUGAGAAGAUACUGAGCACACAUGGAGCCAGCAGGGCUUGGAAGAGAGAGAUUCCCAGGCCUCCUGUUCAUCCUAACCCUCGGAUGUCCCCAGCACUACUCUGUGACAAAGGUGAGCAGUCAGUGCAGUGGGAGAAGCAAGUGGGUCCUUCAUCACCUGGACCUCUGUUCACAGCCCAUUCCUGAUGUCACAGAGCCCCUCCAUCCCCUAGGAAAGAGGAUUUUCUUUAUUUCUGGAAGUCUAAUUUUCACAGCUCUCAUUUCCCACCAGAAAAACAUUUUUAGCACAGUUGGUCCCUUGCUAGAGCUCUUCUUUUUGUAAUAGCAGAUUAUGGAGAUAGAAUUCACACGCUAUAAAAUUCAUCUUUCUCAAGUGUAUAACGCAGCGGUUUUUAGCAUAGUAGCUGAGUUGUACAACCAUUGCCACUACCUCACUGGAGCUUUGAGGAAGGGAAAAAGGUCUUUUGGGCAGUGACAGCAGUGCUUCCUGAAGGGAAAGAGGGAAGCCCUGCUUGCGGGCCAGCUCCCUCCACGGGCAUCAGCUCCUUAGACUUUGAUGCAGAACAGCAGUCUUCAUCUGGGGCUCAGAAAGGUGGAGGGACUCACCCAGGGUCACACAGUUGCUCCGCACAGGGAUGGUGCUCAGAAGCCAGGCCGUGUCUUUUGCAAAGCUUCUUUUACCCUGUCCCUGCAUGGACACUAGUGACAAUUGCCCUGCUCCUGCUGACAGGACCACAUCUGUCUCACCCACCACCAGCUUCCUGGUAUCCAACUUGAUGCCUGGCACUGGGUGGGGUCAGUGAACAUAGAAAGUGGUACCUUAUUAUUGCUUUUCUGUGCACUUUAUAAAAAAGUUGUGAUUGUUAUUACAUAAGAAAUACUGGUUCGUUAUAGAAACACUAGAAAAUAUGUAUUAACAGAAGUUGGGGGUGGGGAAAGAAAUGAAUACACAGGUCUGCACAAAAGCCUGUUCCUUAGCAGCUUUGUACAGCCAUCAGAAAUUGGGAACAGCCCCCAUGCACUUCAACAGGAAGUGACCUGACGGACGACUACUUGGCAAUGCAGACCUACAGACCGAACUCUGGGCUCAGGCACCACGUGGCUGGCUCCCCAGAGCAUUAAGUUAUGUAGGAGUUGCCUUUAUAAGUCAGUCUGGAAAAGGCAAAACUGUUGUGACAGAAAACAAGUCAAAUGGUUGACUGGGGCCCGGGGACCUUUCUGGGGUGAUGGUAUCUGGAUCUUAACCAUGGUGGUGGUGACAAGAUUGUAUACUUCAGUCAGUCACACUUCAAAAGGGGAGAAACCUACUAGAUGUAAAUUAUACCUCAAUAAAGAUGACUUUUUAAAUAGGUUGGGGGCUUCCCUUAAACGCUUACCCA